GACGAACGCUGGCGGCGUGCUUAACACAUGCAAGUCGAACGGAAAGUCCCUGCUUUUGUGGGGUGCUCGAGGGGCGAACGGGUGAGUAACACGUGAGUAACCUGCCCUUGACUUUGUGAUAACUUCAGGAAACUGGGGCUAAUACCGGAUAGGAGCUCCUGCUGCAUGGUGGGGGUGGGAAAGUUUCGGCGGUUGGGGAUGGACUCGCUGCUUAUCAGCUUGUUGGUUGGGUAGUGGCUUACCAAGGCUUUGACGGGUAGCCGGCCUGAGAGGGUGACUGACCACAUAGGGACGGAGAUAGGCACGACCCGCCUCCGGGCGGCAGGCGGGGGGAAUAUCGAAAAGAGGGUGGAAGGAUGCUGCAGCCACGCGUGGCGCGGGAGGGAGGAAUUCGUUUUGGAACCAGAUUUCGCUUGCCCGGAAGGGUGAUGGCAGGAAAGGGGGAAAAAACUCCCGCUAACUCGGUU
rnacentral:rRNA from 1 species